rnacentral:rRNA from 1 species
UUUAUAUUGAGAAAUUGGUUUUAUAUAUGUUAAAAUUUAGAAAUAACUAUUUAGUUUUAGUAAUUUUUAUUGAAACAAUAAUUAAAAUUUACUGUGAAGGAUUAAUAUAUAAAAAUAUGAAAGUAAAAAUUAAUUUUGUACCUUUUGUAUCAGGGUCAAUUAAUAUAAUUUAAAUAUUUAUUCUUCCCGAAAUAUAGUGAUCUAGUCUAUUUUUUUAUUUAUUGUAUCAUAAAUAUCAAUAAAACUAUACUAGGAAUGAUACUUUAACGAACUAUAUUAUAUCUGGUUUACUAAGAAAUGAAUUUAAUUCACUAGUUUAUUAAAAUUUUAUAUUAAAUUGUAUAUUUUAUAUUUCUGUAAAUAUAUUAAGGAUAAGCUUAAUAUAUAUGUUAUAAUAUUAUAUUUUAGUUCAUAUAAUAGGCUUAAAACCAGCCAUUUUUAGAUUAAGUUAUUUUUCAAAAUGUAUUAUUAUUAAUUUUAUUAUAUUUAACUAUGUAUUAGUAAAUUUAAACUAAUUAAUUUUUAUAUUUAUUAUGAUUGAAUUAGUAUAAUAGUUUGUAAUUAUUAAUAUGAAUUAGGCAAAAUUUAUUUUCACCUGUUUAUCAAAAACAUGUCUUUUAGAGUUUUAUUAAAAGUCUAGUCUGCCCAAUGAUAUUUUAAUGGCCGCAGUAAACUGACUGUGCGAAGGUAGCAUAAUAAUUAGUCUUUUAAUUGAAGGCUUGAAUGAACGGCUGGAUGAAAAAUAAGCUUUAUUAAAAUAAUCAUUAAAAUUUAUUUUUUAAGUAAAAACGCUUAAAUAAUUAAGUGGGACGAGAAGACCCUAUAGAGUUUAAAAUUUGUCCUUAUAUAAUUUAUGUUUCAAUUAUUGAGAUUUUAUAUGAAUAAGUUAUUUGUUGGGGUGACAUUAAAAUUUAUUAAACUUUUAAUAUAGAUAUCAUUAAUAUAUGAAAAAUUGAUCCAAUUAUGUUGAAUGAAAGAUUAAAUUACCUUAGGGAUAACAGCGUGAUUAGUUUGGAGAGUUCUUAUUGAUAAAAUGGAUUGCGACCUCGAUGUUGGAUUAAGAAUUGAAUUUGAAGCAGUAUUUAAAUAUUCUAGGUCUGUUCGACCUUUAAAUUCUUACAUGAUCUGAGUUCAGACCGGCGUGAGCCAGGUUGGUUUCUAUCUACUAACAGUUCUUUUAUAUUAGUACGAAAGGACCAUAUAAAAUAAUUUCAUUAU